rnacentral:misc_RNA from 1 species
AUGAGCCUAGCAUGUCUUGUAUGCCAUAGUGUCGAAAGUCCAUCGCACUCUUUUAGAAGCUACUCGGUCUCAAGUUCUGACAAUGAAGGAAGGUGUUCUGCUAUUGCAAACUGCUUAGCCAGGAAGUUUCCUCUUCCCCCUCCAAGAGCAACUAUUGCAUCAACAUCCAAAGUGACCCCACAACCAACCAAUACGAGUCAUGAAAUGACGGGACCCCCAAGACUGGUCCGGAGCCGUGCUGUGAGACGGGAUCUUGUGAGAGAUUGGAAUUUUGAUGGGGCAGCGAUGGAGAGUUAGAUGCUUUAAAAAAAGUGCAGGGUUAUCCACUAGUGUGAUAGUAUUAGAGCUUUAUUUAGCUGUUCUCUAGAUUGUUUCUAUUAUGGGUGCAAUUGAACUCACUUUUCCACUUGAAGAGCUGGAGCAUUUGUGACCAUUGUAGGAAAGUUUAACGUGAAACAAUGUUCAUAUAUUUUUUUUCUCUUUCCAAAUACCAUUUCUAAUCAUCUUUCCUUGGCAAAGUUGAAUUUUAGUCCAAUGUAGCCCCG